rnacentral:rRNA from 1 species
AGGAAGGAAAGCUUGCUUUUCUGAAUCUAGUGGCGAACGGGUGAGUAACACGUAGGUAACCUGCCCAUGUGCCCGGGAUAACUUCUGGAAACGGAUGCUAAUACCGCAUAAGCUAGUAGUACCGCAUGGUACAGCUAGAAAAGGAGAAAUCCGCUAAUAGAUGGUCUUGCGUCCGAUUAGCUAGUUGGUGGGGUAACGGCCUACCAAGGCAACGAUCGGUAGCCGAGCUGAGAGGCUCAACGGCCACAUUGGGACUGAGAUACGGCCCAGACUCC